rnacentral:sRNA from 1 species
GCUGGGGGUGGUGACGCAGCACGCCUGUAAUCCAGCAACUCAGGAGGCUGAGGCAGGAGGAUCACAAGUUCAAGGCCAGCCUCAGCAACUUAGUAAGACCCUAAGCAACUUAGUAAGACCCUGUCUCAU